rnacentral:tRNA from 1 species
GGAGAUUUAGCUCAGUGGUAGAGCGCUUGCCUAGCAAGCCCUGGGUUCGGUCCCCAGCUACUCAAGGCCCUGGGUUCGGUCCCCAGCUCCG